CAGUCGAACGGAGCUUAAAGAGCUUGCUUUUUAAGCUUAGUGGCGAACGGGUGACCACUAAAUGAGUAACCUGCCCUAGAGUGGGGGACAACAGUUGGAAACGACUGCUAAUACCGCAUAAGCCCACGGUGCCGCAUGACACUGAGGGAAAAGGAUUUAUUCGCUUUAGGAUGGACUCGCGUCCAAUUAGCUAGUUGGUGAGGUAACGACCCACCAAGGCGACGAUUGGUAGCCGGACUGAGAGGUUGAACGGCCACAUUGGGACUGAGACACGGCCCAGACUCCUACGGGAGGCAGCAGUGGGGGAUAUUGCACAAUGGGGGAAACCCUGAUGCAGCGACGCCGCGUGGAGGAAGAAGGUUUUCGGAUUGUAAACUCCUGUCGUUAGGGACGAUAAUGACGGUACCUAACAAGAAAGCACCGGCUAACUACGUGCCAGCAGCCGCGGUAAAACGUAGGGUGCAAGCGUUGUCCGGAAUUACUGGGUGUAAAGGGAGCGCAGGCGGGAAGACAAGUUGGAAGUGAAAACCAUGGGCUCAACCCAUGAAUUGCUUUCAAAACUGUUUUUCUUGAGUAGUGCAGAGGUAGAUGGAAUUCCCGGUGUAGCGGUGGAAUGCGUAGAUAUCGGGAGGAACACCAGUGGCGAAGGCGGUCUACUGGGCACCAACUGACGCUGAGGCUCGAAAGCAUGGGUAGCAAACAGGAUUAGAUACCCUGGU
rnacentral:rRNA from 1 species